GGUCUUCAGCAGUACAUAUAAUCCAAAUUGGCCUGGUAUGGGGAAGAUUAGCAUGGCUCCUGCAGGAUGACACAUAACUUUGUGAAGUGUUCCAUGUUAGA
rnacentral:snRNA from 1 species